rnacentral:rRNA from 1 species
AGCGAACGCUGGCGGCAGGCUUAACACAUGCAAGUCGAGCGGGCCCUUCGGGGUCAGCGGCAGACGGGUGAGUAACACGUGGGAACGUACCCUUUGGUUCGGAAUAACGCUGGGAAACUAGCGCUAAUACCGGAUACGCCCUUUUGGGGAAAGGCUUGCUGCCGAAGGAUCGGCCCGCGUCUGAUUAGCUAGUUGGUGGGGUAAUGGCCUACCAAGGCGACGAUCAGUAGCUGGUCUGAGAGGAUGAUCAGCCACACUGGGACUGAGACACGGCCCAGACUCCGACGGGAGGCAGCAGUGGGGAAUAUUGGACAAUGGGCGCAAGCCUGAUCCAGCCAUGCCGCGUGAGUGAUGAAGGCCUUAGGGUUGUAAAGCUCUUUUGUCCGGGACGAUAAUGACGGUACCGGAAGAAUAAGCCCCGGCUAACUUCGUG